GUCGGUUUACAGGAAACGUACUUUUCGGCUGAACGACUGUGUAGAUGGCGUUGAUGUUAAUUUUGAAGAGGUAACGGUCGCUACAAAUUACUAAGUGUAAGUACAAUGAUCGAGCAAAUUUUUAUCAACAAAGAGAACUAAUUAAAGGGAUCAAUUUGUGAACUUUUGUAAUUGCGUUUCUAAAAUUUGAUCCUCGGUUUCCUCUCUGCAUUCUAAUAUCGCUGUGAAACGUACGAAUAAGGAUUUGGUAAUUUUAAUCGAUAGAUUAAAAAAAAGCAUUCGUUGAAGUGAUGUUUAAUUUCCUGGAACUACGUUCAAAGCUUGGAUCAAAAUUAGACGUGAAAAUACAUAGUUGAAACUAUAAGCAGGUUUACACCUGCAAAAGACUUGUGCCAGUCAGCUAUUAUUUUUCAUCACAUGGAACAGCGACAAUUUUCGGAGAGAAUGAUUCGAAAAAUGAUUUGUAUAGGUACAGGAAAAAUGGUAAACACUGAUGUUAGAUGUAUGUCGUUUAUUUAUUAUUGUAUUUAAUCGAUCCGAUCGCAGAUAUAGUUUUUUCAUUCAUUAUAUUUUAUCUUCCAUAAGUUAUUAAUUACAAGUAUUCAUCGUCAUCUAUAAUCUAAAAGGGUAUAGGGGGCAAAGUUAUAGAUAAUCUCUUUGUGAUUAAUCUUUUGUUCUGUUCACAGUAUUGACUCUAUUACAUACGCUAAUCAGAUGGCUAAAGUGUUUGUAUCUACAAAUAUAUUUUAUAUUUAUUUUCUAUAUACAUAUACAUAUGUAUACACACACGCACGCGCGCAUACACACAGAGGCACACACCACACACAAACAUAUACAUACAUGCACGCACGCAAGCACGCACGCAUGCAUGCACGUACACACCACACGCGCGCGCACAUACACAUGUAAUUUGUAUAUGUGCAUAUCUAUAUAUACAUACGUUGGUUUGUAACGCAUCUUUGCACAUUCUUUUUCCCUUUCUCUAAAUUCUCUUAUUUCUUUGUUAUUUGAUUUUUAAUCAAGACAACGUGUAACUUGCGCUUCGUGCACAAGUGCAAGUACAACGUCACCCCCCCCCCUCCCCCCUUACACUUUCAAGCUACUUUUCCUCCGUUUCUUUUGCUUUUUCUAAUACCAACUUUAAAUUUACCUAUGUAUGUACUUAUGUACGUAUGGGUGUGUAGCGUGUAAGUAUGUUGAGGAGAAAAAACUAACGAUAAGUGGUGUUGCCACGAGUGAGGAUAGAUCCCGGUUUCUUUUCUUUUUUUUUCUUUUUUUAAACAGAGCUAGACUUGAUGUAUUUUUUUUCCAUUUUUCCUUUUUUUUUUUCUUUUUUUCAAACGAGAUAUUAAGAUUUAAGAGUAUAUAUUAGUGUACAUAGUAUCUGACUCUUGUUUGACACAUAUGAUUGAGGUCUCGAGCAAAUUUCUCUGCUGCUUAGCUCGCAUCUCACAGCCUAAAGGUGAUUUAAACCAGACGCGGCAACUGUUUACAACAGGUCGCGUCGCUACAUACGAUAAAUCUCCGACAAGUGCCGAGCUUGCAGGUGUGUAUGUGUAUAUAUAUAUAUAUAUAUUUUAUUUUUUCUCUCUGUUAAUAUGUCCUUUCUCACUUUACGCAUACGUGACGUAUAAGUAUGUACUUAUGUAUGUAUGUCCAUGUCCAUAUGGUCAGUUGUGCAUUUUCAAGUAAGUACAACAUAGUAAAAUAUUAAAGCGACAGCAGAAUACACUGCAAUACUGUUUGAUCUAUGAAAAAGAUGUUUCCCUUUCCUUUUGUUUCCUCUGAUUCAUUUUCUCAUUUUCUUUUCGUUAUUGAAAA